UGAGCAAUCUGCCCUUCACAUCGGAAUAACCAUUGGAAACGAUGGCUAAUACCGAAUAUGACUUCGGAUCGCAUGAUCUGAAGUGGAAAGCUCCGGCGGUGAAGGAUGAGCUCGCGGCCUAUCAGCUUGAUGGUGAGGUAAUAGCUCACCAAGGCGAUGACGGGUAGCCGGCCUGAGAGGGUGACCGGCCACACUGGGA
rnacentral:rRNA from 1 species